rnacentral:rRNA from 1 species
UUAAGCUAGUAAGAGCACACGGAGGAUGCCUAGGCGCCAGGAGCCGACGAAGGACGUGGCGAACGACGAAAUUGCCUCGGGGAGCUGUAAGCAAGCAUCGAUCCGGGGAUGUCCGAAUGGGGAAACCCGGCUGCUGUAAUAGGCAGUCACUCGCACCUGAAUCCAUAGGGUGUGAAGAGGCAUACGAGGGGAACUGAAACAUCUAAGUACCCUCAGGAAGAGAAAACAAUAGUGAUUCCGUCAGUAGCGGCGAGCGAACGCGGAAGAGCCUAAACCGGAGAGCUUGCUCUCCGGGGUUGUGGGACGUCUCACAUGGAGUCAGAAAGGCGUUUAUUAGACGAAGAGGUCUGGAAAGGCCCGCCGUAGAAGGUAAUAGCCCUGUACUCGAAAGUAAAUGCCCUCCGAGACGGAUCCCGAGUACCGCGGGACACGUGAAACCCCGUGGGAAUCCGGCAGGACCAUCUGCUAAGGCUAAAUACUCCCUGGCGACCGAUAGUGAAGCAGUACCGUGAGGGAAAGGUGAAAAGCACCCCGGAAGGGGAGUGAAAUAGAACCUGAAACCGUGUGCUUACAAGAAGUCAGAGCCCUAUGAUGAAACUUGUUUUCAUCAGGGUGAUGGCGUGCCUUUUGUAGAAUGAACCGGCGAGUUACGUUUACGUGCAAGGUUAAGGUGAAAAGCCGCAGCCGCAGCGAAAGCGAGUCUGAAUAGGGCGAAUGAGUACGUAGGCGUAGACCCGAAACCGUGUGAUCUACCCCUGUCCAGGGUGAAGGUGCGGUAACACGCACUGGAGGCCCGAACCCACGAAUGUUGAAAAAUUCGGGGAUGAGGUGGGGGUAGCGGAGAAAUUCCAAUCGAACUCGGAGAUAGCUGGUUCUCCCCGAAAUAGCUUUAGGGCUAGCCUCGGAGGAAGAGUCGUGGAGGUAGAGCACUGAUUGGGUGCGGGGCCCGCCAAGGGUUACCAAGCUCAGUCAAACUCCGAAUGCCAUGGACUUAUUAUCCGGGAGUCAGACAAUGGGUGCUAAGGUCCGUUGUCAAGAGGGAAACAGCCCAGACCAUCAGCUAAGGCCCCUAAGUGUACGUUAAGUGGGAAAGGAUGUGGAGUUGCCCAGACAACCAGGAUGUUGGCUUAGAAGCAGCCAUCAUUUAAAGAGUGCGUAAUAGCUCACUGGUCGAGUGACUCUGCGCCGAAAAUGUAACGGGGCUAAACGUACCGCCGAAGCUAUGGAUUGAUGCUUCUUGCAUCAGUGGUAGGGGAGCGUUGUGUACCGGGUUGAAGGCAGACCGGAAGGACUGCUGGACUGUACACAAGUGAGAAUGCCGGUAUGAGUAACGAAAAGACAUGUGAGAAUCAUGUCCGCCGAAAGCCUAAGGGUUCCUGGGGAAGGCUCGUCCGCCCAGGGUAAGUCGGGACCUAAGGCGAGGCCGAAAGGCGUAGUCGAAGGACAACAGGUUGAAAUUCCUGUACCACCGCAGCCGUUAUGAGCAAUGGGGGGACGCAGAAGGAUAGGGACGCGAGCUGAUGGAUGCUCGUCCAAGCAGUGAGGCUGGUCAGUAGGCAAAUCCGCUGACCGUAAGGCUGGGCUGUGACGGGGAGGGAAAAUUACAGUACCGAAGGUCUUGAUUUCAUGCUGCCAAGAAAAGCCUCUAGCCAGGUGAAGGUGCCCGUACCGCAAACCGACACAGGUAGGCGAGAAGAGAAUUCUAAGGCGCGCGGAAGAACUCUCGUUAAGGAACUCGGCAAAAUGACCCCGUAACUUUGGGAGAAGGGGUGCCCCGGUAGGGUGAAUAGCCCGAGGGGGCCGCAGUGAAUAGGCCCGAGCGACUGUUUAGCAAAAACACAGGUCUGUGCGAAGCCGUAAGGCGAAGUAUACGGGCUGACGCCUGCCCGGUGCUGGAAGGUUAAGGGGAGUGGUUAGCUCUUAGAGCGAAGCUAUGAACCGAAGCCCCAGUAAACGGCGGCCGUAACUAUAACGGUCCUAAGGUAGCGAAAUUCCUUGUC